UUGACUACCUAAGAAUUUAAAAAUUUAAAAAGAACAUGAAUAAACUUAAAGAUAAUUAACAACUGAGAACAAAAUAACAACAAAUAAGUAAAGAGCCUUUAUAUAUAAAGAGCUCUUCAAAUCAAUAAGAAAAAAACUCCUCCAAAAAAAUGAACAAAGGACAUGACCAGACAAUUUGCAGUAGCCAAUAAACAUUAUGAAAAACUCCAACUUCAGUAGUGAUCAAGUAAAUGAUAAUUAGAAUAACAAUGUACUACUGGUCUUCAUUUAUCAAGUUGCCAAAGAUUUUUAAAAGUUGUCACAUUUAGUGGUGAAAUAGAAAUUCUUUUUUUUUGGUGAGAUGAUUGGCCCUGAGCUAACAUCUGUUACCAAUCUUCCUCUUUUUGCUUGAGGAAGAUUGUAGCUGAGCUAACAUCUGUGGUGAUCUUCCUCUAUUCUGUAUGCGGGAUGCCACCACAGCAUGGCUUGAUAAGCAGUGCAUAGGUCCCUGCCUAGAAUCCAAACGCGUGAACCCUGGGCCACUGAAGGGGAGCGCAUGAACUCACCCACUAUGCUACUGGGCUGGUCCCCUGAAAUAGAAAUUCUUACACAUACAGAGUUGUAAUUUAUCAGACCCUUUCUGGGCAAAUUUGGCAAUGUGUAUCAAAAACCUUUUGCAUGUUUAUAUUCUUUGACCAGACAAUUACACUUUUAGCAUUAAUAGCAUGCUAUUAAUAACAGAAAAAUAAUCAAAAUAGCCACAAAAGACAUUGUUUGAAUACAUUACAUUUGGUCCACAGGGUGGAAUUUUAUGCUGUCAUUACAAAAUUAUGUUUUUGAAAAAAAUGUAAUGAAGUAAAGAAAUGCUCACGAUAUACCCAUAAAUGAAACAAAACAGGAUAUACAGCAGCCUACAGGCCUUCCACACUCGGACUCUCUCCCACUCCACCCUUCACCCACUCCACUCCAGCUACCCUGGACUCCUGAAUGGUCUUCCAACAUGCCCAGUAUUUGUGGCCUCAGGACUUUGCACAUGCUCUUCCCUCUGCCCGAGACACUGCCCCAAGAUAACUGCACAGCUGCUUCCCACUUUCUUCGGGGUCUGGUCGAAUUUCACCGUCGCAGCCAGAUCAUCCCUGGCAGCUCUAUAGAAAAGCAGUAACCGCUCCUCAGCCCACCCACUGCCACCCCACACUUCCUGUCCCCUCCCCUCCUUUAUUGUUCUCUACAGCACUACGGCAGCCUGGCACAAGGCGUAUUUCACGUUUAUUUAUUUAUUGUCUGUUUCCAGACAAUAUGAGGAGUGCCAGCUCCAGGAGGACAGGGAACUUGUCUGUUUUGCUCAUUGCUGCAUUCCCACCGCACAGUAGGCCAUCCAAAAAUAUUUGUGAAAUGAAUGAAUGAAAUAUCUAAUUAUAUCAACUGUGUUAUAUGACUUUUGUAAAAAACCUUAGGUGAUAGGUAGAUACAGUUUAAAAGGAUGGGGAAGUGGGACACCAAGUAUUAACUGUGGUUAUUCUUGGGUGGCUGGCUUAUUGGGAAUUUUGACUAUUUCUUUAUAUUUUUCUGUGUUUUUGCAACUUUUUGCCAUAAACUUGUUAUAAUAAGAGAGAAACCAAUGUGCUGUUAUUAUUUUAAAAUUCCAUAAUUUGCAAAAAUGACCCAAUACCUGAGCUGGCCGAAGGUUCCAAAGUGUAGAACGAUUCUGCUUUUUUACAAGUUUACACUUUUUCCAUUUUACAAAUCAGAUGACUCUUGCACAGGCUGUGUUUGAAAAGCCACUGUGUCCUGGCAUUGGCUUCCUUUGCCUUCCGCAUUCCAACAAGCGCCUCCAGGGUGUGGAAUUUCUUUGGUGGCACUUCUCAGUUUACGAAAGCAACAUAGGACUCUCCAGGGCCAGUGUGCUUGGCCCAGUGCCAGCUGGGGAAUUGCCAAGCCUUCCUCCUCCUCCCUCACCUCCUCCUCCUCCCAGCCCAGCCUCUUCCCUGAGUUCCUUCCUGGGACUUGCAUUGCCAGGUGCCUGGAAGCCUGAAGGAGUAGCCUUUCACAGGCCCUCAGACCUCCAAGGGGAAGGGAAGGUUACUUGAGGGUAAUUAGUUGAGAACUGAGGAGUUUUACUUGGGACGACUGGUUUGUUAAUCCCCUUACUCUUAAAUUAAUCCCCUUACCUCAUUGCAAGGCUCAGCACCAGAGUCCCGCCUGCACAGGAAUGGGCAGCCAGCCCUUUGAGGAAGCUGUGUCCCAGCAGCCAUAUUGACUGACAGGGGCUGAGCUGUAAGAUUCUUUCCUUAGAAGGAGGGUGAGCCCUGGUCCCAAGCCUUAGGGCUUCCUUUAUUUGUACUCCCAGGUGUCUUUCUAGUCUGGAGUAUCUCGCUGCGCAAGGUGAUUGAAAGGUCACCACCCACCAGCAGGCACUACUGUGAGGCACUUCUCACAGCAUUUCACUUAUUUAAGAAUAAUUAUCCAAACAUAACGAGUAGCCAUUCCUUGAGAACCAGAAGCACACCCACAAUGACCAGUGGGUGCACAGGCCUGGGCUUGAAGGAAGGAAGUCAUCACAACGUGACAGGAUAAUGCUCCUCCCCAGGGCACCGAUUGUGGGGAGCAUUUUCAAGACGAGGUGAAAGACGUUUCGUUAUUACUCGUGGUGAGGAGGGCUUGUGGGCUGUGGCUGAGCCUGCAGCAGUCAGGGGCAGCGCUGGCUUUGUUGGAGCAGAGAUGACGAUGCACUGGGUGGAGGUGGGGAGCACCCCAUCCCAGGACUCCAGGCAGGGUUACGAGAGUGGUAGUUGCAUCUUCUUAGAAUGUGCAGCAAUGUGCUUGGCAGUCCUUGGUGUUUCUGAACCACAGCUGCCCUGGAAAGAACCUCAAAAUGCAUUCACUGUCCUAGGUCAAGCUCUAUUGCUGUUUAGAAAACCUCAAACCCUCAGACUGGGCCUGUCCUCUGCACUUUCUGAACAUGUUGGGCUUGCCUCUACAUAUCACUCACCAUAUCUGAAUUAUCUGUCCAUGUGUCUGUUUCCCCUCCUAGAUACCACGUCUUAUUUCAUAUUUGUAGGUCCAGUGUCUGGCACACAGGAGGGGCUCGAUCAGUAUUUUAUGAACCUAUGUUUGGAGUCUGUCUUUGAAAGUUUAUUUUAAAACAUUCCAAGCAAUGGUGAUUUCUUGGAAAAAUUUUCCUUCAGGGCAAAACUCAUGGGGAUGCUUCUUGGGAUUGCCUAUUUCUGAGUCUUCAAAUGCUGAAGGGGGAGUGUCUCUAGAGCAUGAGGGACACUCGUUGCUUCAGAUGGGGCUCAUUACAAUUAUUUGAUACAAUGAUUGUCACAAUGGAAAUCUCUUACAUGUGUCUACCAUGUCACAAUUUAAAGCCCUUUCAAUUUUCUUAUCUAUUAUUAUGUUCUGAUCUCUAAGGCAUGAUGAAGGGGAGGGGCAUAUUUUAAAAGCUUAUAAAAAUCGAAUACCCUUUGUCAUAUCUGAAAGCCUUAUUUUUAGAAUUAAGCACCGUUUUUCAUUUGUUCAACACACACUUAUUGCAUAUCUAUUAUGUGCCAGGCACUGUGGGCACUGAAGAUACAGAGAUGAAGAUUCAUAAUUCCUGCUCAGAUUAGAAGCAUUGAUGCAAAGGGAUAAGGACUAUAAUAAAGGUGCCAUUAAAGGCUGUGGAAGAAAUGGGCAGGAGCGCUUGAUUCUGCCUGGGGAGAAGUAGGGGCGGUGUCAGACCAAGAUGAGGAUGAGGAUGAUGAUGAUGAUAUCAUCAGCAAUAUACGGUACUUACCAUGUGCCAGGCACUGUUCUGGGUGCUUUGCACAUGUUAAGUAACUUAAUUCUCAAAACCACCCUAUGAGGUAGGGGCUCUUAUUAUUUCCAUUUUACAGAUGAGAAAAUUGAGGCAUGUAGAGAUUAGGUAAAUUGCUCAAGAUUCUACCAGGAAAUGGUGGAGAUUAUCUACUAUUUCUUGGAUUUCUGGAUCAAAACCAGCAACAAUAAUACCAGCAAAGAACAGGGUCUUCUGCUACCUCCAAAACCCACUUUCCUCGGUCCCCCUCCUAAGGUGCAGCCCACUUAUUUCUUGAGCCAGUCCUUGAGCUUGGCUGUACAUUGAGGGCCUUCCUGUCAAGAUGGUAAGGCUGGUUUGUGGCCCUGGCCCCAUGUACCCAAACAACCCUCUACGGAUAAAGCGUAAUGGUUAAGAUACGGGAUUUCAAACCAGACAACCUUGGGUUAGCUUUCUGGUCCUGUCAAUUCUUAGCUCUUGACCUCUGAGCCUUGGAUUCCCUACGUGUAAAAUGGGAAUAAUUGCCAUAUCUAUGCCUCUUUGGCUUCACACAUAAGCUACUUCUUGUUCACUCCACCCCUCACACAAGAUGAGGGCCCUGAACCACACAGAUGCUGAAAGCGAGCCAACCUGGAAGCCUGUGGAGUUCCCCCAGCGUGAUUGGAGCCAUUGUUCUGCUGCCUGGCAGGGAGGGGCAGCGGGCUUCGGUGCCUUCGGUAGACAUCUGCCUCCGAGGUUUCCUCUGCCUCGCUGUUUGGAGACACAAGCUUUUCCUUCAGAGUCUGAGGUGAAUGUCGUUGAAAGAAACAACAGUUGUGACGGGCUGAAGGGCUGGCAAGAGGACUGGAAGUGGGCUUAGCCCGGGGUUGCGUCCCUGGGGUGCCCCUCGGGGGAACCUUGGGGCCAACAGCACGCUCUCUGUUUACUCAGGACUUUCCUCACCGACCCGCUGAGGAAACAGCUUUGCAAGGAAAGGGAAAACAUAUGGGUUAGGCUAGGUAGUCAGUGGGCCCGAUGGGGACAGAGUGGCUGCCUACAAAUUGCCUCCUACUUCAGCGCCGAGGGGAGCAGAGUCCAGCGUGGGCGGAGGGCCCGCUGUGGGACUCCACACCCUUCAGAGGGGCCGGCCCUGUGGCCGCCACCUCCUGGGCGCACUUGGUACCUUUUAGGGAUGGCCAUGAAAUCUUCUAAGCCUUCCAGGCCCCUUAAGAAAUUUCUGAGAGGAAGAAAUUUGCAUGUUUGUGAUGGAACUAUCUGUCUCUUCACUCACUUGAUUCCACCUCAUGCUUGGUGGGAGGAGUUUUUUGAAGCAUAAUAAUACAUCAAAGUUAUGCUGUGAAAGGUUAUAUUAGCAAGAGAGAGGUCUGUGUGUCUAAUGAGGGCUCCACUUGGAAAAGAAGAAUUCAGGCGGCUCUUUCAGAAUGAAAGGCCAGCUCCUGAGGCAUUGUGGCUCUGAGGCUUUGGUGAUGCUGGUGAUGGGGUGUGUGGACGGGUACAAGGCAGAGGGUCAGAGGAAGGACAGAGGGAACUGAGGAAGCAGGAACUUAGUCAUGUUCAGAGUUUGACCCUGUAGGGUCUGCAAGGUGACUGACUGGAAGUAAACAGAUGACUAUCAUCUUCUGGACUCUCAGCUACCUGUGAUCAGCUACAAGAAACAUGGGUUCUUUCUGGAAUUGGACUGUGUUUCAGGGGAGGGUAAAACAGCAUGGCCCACCUUAAUUCAGUGGCCUGAUUAUCUCCUAUGUGCUGGUGCCAUGCUUCCCGCUGAGGAGAGACGGAAGGACCUGUAGGGGCUGCAGGAUUGGUGCUCUUGCUGAGAAGACCACUCCUGCAAUAUCGAUUACAGACAGCAGUGACGAAACAACAAGCCAGAGCCUCUUGUGGGUGGUGGUCAAGGGAGGCAUCAUGGAGGAGGCAGGUCUUCUCCAGACCUUGAGAGAUGGCAGGACAGAAACAGGGAAUGGGACUCAUGGCUGAGCCAGGGAGAAGGAGCUCGCCAGGGACAUAGCAUUCCAGAGCUGGCUUUUCAACCUGGCUAUAGUAAGGUCUUUGAGGGAAAACUUGCCCCUGCCUUGAGAUCCUCCUUAUCACCAGGGAUUACUGGCCCUUGAUCAGUCAGUUGCAGGACUGGACUCAGGACUCUAGGCUACACUGAAGGGUCUGGCAAAUCUGGGUUUGAGGAUUCAAGGAAUUCUUUGGAAUGCUGGGCUAUUUGGCCUCCUGGCAAAGAAGUACCAAUGAUGCAUAUAUACUGGGAAAUAAGGGAACUGAGGGAAACACUGACAGAAGCUCAGGAAGGUUUUGCUGACUGGAGAAAUAAGCGUGGCACCCACAGUGAGUACAGAGCCUCUGCCCAGACCCUUCACUGGAGAAAGUUGCAGGUGGCUGCAGAGCAGGUGGGCUGCGCUGGGCUGGGCUCAAGCAUGUGGCUGGGCUCCGAGAGGGUCUGCUCGUGCCCAGAUGGCUUCAGAAUGCCUGGUGAACCUCUCCAGCUCUGACGUUCAGGUCUGCAAAAUUCCUGACCCACCCUCCAGGGACUUCCACCAGAUAUGGCAUCAGAUGACCUGGAUUGUUCUGUCCAGGACCAACCCUCAACCCUACCGCACCUUGCUUAUCUGAUCCUCCUCCCCAUGGGCACAUUCAGCCUCUUAGAAAUGUGUUUGCUCCCCUCCUCUUUGCAACUAUUUAAAAAAUGUUCUCCUUUUUGUUUUCUUCUUCAAGAAUUUUAUAGAAAAGAAAGAUCGCAGAGUGUUUGGUGCAGAUAAUGAGAAAAGCAGGAUCGGGUGGGUGGUUACAAUGUCAGGGGAUUUGGAAGAAUUUCUUCUUUUCCCUCAUCAUUGCUCCCAGUAGAGAAAUAGUUUCAGCCAUUCUAGGAAAUGUGAGCAAUGCAGAGGGUUUUCCGCACCUCAGCAGCGAAGUGCAUCAUAUACAGUACCUUACAUUCACGGGAAGAUUUUAUACAUAAUCAAGAAUGUCAUUUAGAAACCAGGGAGAGAUGUCACGGAUUGAUCUUAGACUGCUGCAUAGCAUUUGCUAUGAUGCCUACAGUGUAGGGGGCAUCUUUUUUUUAAAAAAUUUUUUAUUGAGUUAAUGAUAGGUUACAAUCUUGUGAAAUUUCUGUUGUACAUUAAUGUUUGUCAUUCGUGUUGUAGGUGCACCACUUCACCCUUUGUGCCCACCCCCCACCCCACCUUUCCCCUGGUAUCCACUAAACUGUUCUCUUAGUCCACAUUUUUAAAUUGUAGGGGGCAUCUUGAUGUCAGAGCUGAGAAUUCUCUGGUCUGCAGCAUCCAAGGAGAAGGAUCCAGAGAGGAAAGAUUUUUCACAAGUUGAACAGUGGUCUCAGGAUUCAGUGCUUUCUUCUGCUUUAACAAGACCAUUAUUGUCAUAUUCUCUUACACUGUAGACUUUAGAAUUUACAAAAUGUGCUUUUAGAAUGGCAUUUGAUGUGAGCUCUGAUAACACGAUAUUGCAUUUCUAGGUUGUUUGUUCUCGAGAUCUGAGUGUGUUUAACUCAAAUUCUCUGUUAGGAUCUGGGUUAAGGUUUUUCAUACCUAGCAUGUUCAUUUUUUAUUUCCAACUGGAAAAGUCUUAAUAACAGAAUCUUUUUUUUUUUUUUUUUGUCAAAACGAAGCCUUUUCAGUGCAAAAAUUUCAGCAAAAUAGCUACGUUUUCCAUUGCUUCAUUGUAUUGAGAACAGGCGUGUCUUGAUCCCACCUCUACUUUUCAAAGGUACGGCAGCUACAGUAGUUCAGGUCUUUAUCAUCACUCCCUUUUACUAUUUUAAUUAUAUAACUGCUCCCCUAACCUCCAUUCUUAUUUUCCCUCCUAUCCAACAAUUGCAUGAUUGUCAAACUGAACAUUGAAAGCUCAGGUCUAAGAAAAUUGACAAAGACGAACAAAGAUGUGUCUAAGUGAGCAAUCUCAGAGAUGCUGUGGUGUGAAUGGUGCAGCCCCUUUGAAGGGCAACGUGGUCAUAUCUACCAGAGUUACAAGCACAGGCACGCUUUGACCCAAAAUUCCACUUCCAGGAAUUUAUCCUAUUGAUAUUCUUAUACGUGCAAAGAUGUAUGUGUGAGGAUGUCAAUUAUGGCAUUGUUUAUAAUGACAAGAUAUUGGAAACAAGCUAUUGAAAUGGUAGAGCUACUGAAAUGAAUGAUGGUAAUUGCCUUUUAUUUUUUAAGGAAGAUUAGCUCUGAGCUAACAUCUGCCACCAAUCCUCCUCUUUUUUGCUAAGGAAGAUUGGCUCUGAGCUAACUCCAGCGCCUGUCUUCCUCCACUUUGUAUGCCGGAUGCCUGCCAAAUCAUGGCUUGACAAGCAGUGUGUAGGUCCACACCCGGGAUCUGAACUGGCAAACCCCGGGCCGCCAAAGCAGAAUGUGAGAACUUAACGGCUGUACCACCGGCUGGCCCCUGAAUCAUGGUAAUUGGAUGAUGGAAUUUGUAAGGGCCAUUUGCCAGUUGCUCCCUAGAAUCCACUCCCUUUUGUCCCCUCUUAAUCGUUGGUUGGGGUUGGCCCCCACUCCUGACUGAGGGCAGCCAAUCAGCCCAUCAUAUUUCCUUGGCCUCAGAACUGUUUCAUGUAAGAAAAAAUCUUGUCCAAUCAGAAUGAAUCAGAAUGAUUACGAGGCGUAGAAUAGCUGCAGCCAGGAGGGGCAGCCUGGAGCCUCCAGGAGGCCUGAGAUGGACCCUGAGAGAGGAACUAGUCCAACGACGUGUGCUGGGGGAUGGAGCCUACUGGGGUCAAGCUGGGUGACAUGCCGAAGCGGGGCGAAUGCCCUUUUGGUUUUGGUUCUUGUUUAGCUGGCCUGAGGUGAGUCGCCUUUCACUUGCAGCCAUAAGGAUCCUAGGUGCUAAAGGAUGCCCGGUAGCUGUGAAAGGAAGUGAGGUGCAUCUACAUUUGCCCAUGUGGAAUUCCUUGAGAUACUUUGUGAAAUGAAAGCAUUAUACAACGAAUAUAGAAUAUACUCCCUUCUAUAUAAAUGAAAAGCUGUGAGAAUGAGUGAGUGCCUGUGCAUGUGUGGAUGUGUGUGAUGUGUAUAACAGUCUCAGCUAGUCCACGCAAUGCUUUUGAACAAAUUAGGAAAAGACGCUCCCUCUGGUAUGUGCAGCCCCAUGCCACGGAGCAGCUUGGCAAGCAAGUGUGCAAUGGAUUUUAACCCCUCCUUGUCUCUGUGGCUGGGGGGCUUCAUGCUGUACACAAUCUACACAAUAUGCCAUGGUCCUUUGUCUAUAUACUUGUAUAUGAUAUUUCCGGUAGGAUACAUGCAAAACCAGAAAGACAGGUUGCUUCUAGGAAGGGAAGACUCGGAGUUUGGUGGUAGUAGGGUGAAAGGAGGCUUGUCCUCUGUGCUGCCCUGGGGGGGGUAUUUGAAUUUUACUACCAUCUACACAAAUUACUUUUCAAAACUAGUUCAUUUGAAUAAACAAGUAGGAAAGCAAACAAAAACACAGGUUUGAUCUCAGUUACUCCCUUGUUUCAAAAAACUUUCAACAAUCCUCAUGAAGAACUUCCAGCUACUUGAGCACAUCAUACAAAGGUUGCAGCUGGCCCCAGCCUGCCAUCCUAGCCUUACCUCGGGCAGCUCGCUUGGCCUCUCCGCCUUUGCAGCUGCUGUCCUCUCUGCUCUUCCCUGUGUCCCACCUGGGGGACUGCCGUCAUCCUCGGGGGCCCUUGUUCCUGGGUGUGCCCACAGUCCUUGGUGCCUUUCCCUUUCUUGCUACCUACCACAUUUUAUUGCAAUUGUUUGUUUAUUCCUACGCCACCUGCUUUCUGUGAGUGAGCUCUUUGACGGACCUGUGUCCCUGGACUUAGGACAGUUGGUGCUUGUGACACGAUGGGAAGAGGCAUCUCAUAGCUGUUCGCUGAACAAAUGGAGUGUGGAACUCCCUUUCAGAAUCACCUGAGAUCCUUGACAAGAAUGUGUAUUCCUGGGACCCACCUCAGGACAACUGAAUUAGACUCCCUGAAGGGUGGAGCCCAGCAAUUCCGACUUUUAACCAGCCCCCUCGAUGAUUCUAAUGCCCACUAAAGCCUACAAACUGCUGGUUCAGCAACUCUUCCUUCAGAAGCCCUUGGGAUCUGCAUAUUUGGGAAUCUGGAACUACCUGACGGGACAGAGCAAAAAUAGACCAAGCGUUCUCUGAGCUCUGCAGCGUCACCUCCUCGUGCGUCCUUGAGGUGUUCCUGAAGGCUGCUUCUCUGGGGUUUGGGGCUGAUGUCAUUGUUUUUCCUGGCACCACUGCUUUGCUGGUUCUAAAAAGCACUUUUAAAAGUAUCAGCUUUUAGGAUAAAAACUCUAGGAAUCUUGAAACAAAAUGUGGGUACAACUCAGAUUAACUCCACACUUGUCCUUACCCCUCAGCCUCAAGCCCCUUCCUGCCUGGUCCUGAGGUAGAGAAUGUUUCAGGCUGAUCCAUUUCAAGGAAGUCUCCUGGAGACGCUGUGUUUCCAUCUUACAUGAAGGUUAAUUACACUAUGCUAAAUUCCAAGGGGCUGAUCAGUUUGCUUUGUGGAAAUGAUAUUUCUGUCAUUUUGAAUAAUUUUUGAAAUGUGAAUGUGAUUGGCCUGUAUUUGGCCGCCCUUUUUAUUUAGAGAGUUUUCCUGGAAUAGAAGUUUAGCUUCAUCCACAUGUGCUCAUUUACACCAUAUAUUACAGACACCCAUUGCUCUGGGCCACAGGGCAGCGCUCACACCCUCUGCCUCCCUCCCUUGGGGGAUGAAGUCACUCAUAGACAUGGUUCACUGCUAUAGACGGAAUGGUUGUGUCCUCUCAAAAUUCAUAUGUUAAAUCCUGACCCCCAAUGCAAUGGUACUUGGAAGUGAGGUCUCUGGGAGGUGAUUAGUUCAUGAGGGCAAAGCCCUCAGGGAUGGGAUUAGUGCCCUUAUAAAAGAGACCCCAGAGAGCUCCCUUGCCCCUUCUGCCAUGUGAAGACAGAAUGAGAAGAUAGCUGUCUAUGAACUAGGAAGUAAGCUGGCACCAGACCCCGAAUCUCCUGGCAUCUUAAUCUUGGACUUUCCAGGCUCAGGAACUGUGGGAAAGAAAUGCUUGUGUAAGCCCCCGACUGUAUGGUAAUUGUUAUAGCCGCCCGAAUGGACUAAGACAUUCACACUGUUGCCCUUGUGCCAAGCAGAGUGCAGGAUACAUUAGUGCAAGAGGGUGAGCCUGUGCCCUGUGUCAAGGAGUUUAAUCUAAACCCCCAUUCUCCAAUGCAGUCGCCCCCAGCCACAUGUGACUAUUGAACACUUGAAAUGUCUGAAUGGAGAUGUGCUGUAAGUGUAAAAUAUACAUCAGAUUUCAAAGACUUUGUAGGAAGAAAAAGCGUGUAAAAUAUCUCAUUAACAAUUGUUUUAUAUUGACUACAUGUUGAAAUCAGAAUGUUUUGGAUAUAUUAGGUUAAAUAAAAUAUACUAUUAAAAUUAA
rnacentral:lncRNA from 1 species